UACGUAGGGGGCAAGCGUUAUCCGGAAUUACUGGGUGUAAAGGGAGCGUAGACGGUAAUGUAAGUCUGGAGUGAAAGGCGGGGGCCCAACCCCCGGACUGCUCUGGAAACUAUGUUACUAGAGUGCAGGAGAGGUAAGCGGAAUUCCUAGUGUAGCGGUGAAAUGCGUAGAUAUUAGGAGGAACUCCGAUUGCGAAGGCAGCUCACUGGACUGCAACUGACACUGAGGCUCGAAAGUGUGGGUAUCAAACAGG
rnacentral:rRNA from 1 species